GCUGUUUAUGUACCCAACCUUGACGUUUCUAUAUGUAACAUGGUGAGCGCUUGUGCCUUUAAGCGCGCUCCCCUGUACCUAAUUGAAGGCCGUCAGCUGGGCUGUUGCGCACCAAUUGUGUGGAUCGGAGUCAUUUUUAAAAACGCGUUGCGCAUGCUACUGCGGGAGGGAGGAAGACCUUGUUGGUUUGUUGGCCAUUUCGCCUGUGGUCCUAGUUUGGGAGUCCGUGCAAGCUGUCACUUCACGGAAUAUGCCAGUUGCGUGGGGUUGUCUGCUCGUCCCCAACACUGCGGUGGUGCCGCUCUUUGACUAGGGCUACCAUUUGCACUGGCUUCCCUUACCAUCUCCUGGUGUUAUGGUGUGUGUCGCUGUCUGUGCGCCCUCUUCCCUCCGUGCCUGUGAAUGAGAUAUUGGUGCCCGCUGCCCAUGGUAGCCGGGUGAUCUCCUACUUGGGGCCGCCCUGGACAGGUUGCUGUUUUGUUUGCCAAGUGUUUCGAAACAAUUGCGCGCCUGAGCGCGCGCACGAGUGGAUUGACUGACUGUGUGUGACUGGUGGUGAGAGAGUGUGGCUGAGAGAGUGCACCUGUUUGAGUGAUUUUCUGUAUUUGAUUUCCAUUUUGUUAAGUUCACGAGAAAGUGAGAGUUCUCGGUCUGUUAAUUUGUAUAUUUUUAUUUUGUGUUUGCUUGUUUGUUCAGGGUACUUCCCUGUCAGUUACGCCCUGUGCCUUUACCAAACCCCCCGUGGUACUUAACUGGAUUGCAGUGCAACGUAGUGUAGGGUGCUUAGGUGCCUGUGUGAACUAAGAUUUGCAGUGGGAAUUGUACAGUUUGCUGUGCUCUGAACUAUUUUCUUUCUUUAUUUAAAUAUGUUUGCGGUGCAUGUUUCAUAGUAGUGGGGUUGAAGUCCAGUAAACGGGGAAUAGACUGAUGGUAUACGCCCUUAGAACUCCCAUUUGAUAUGUCUGUCCUCCACCACUGUUUUUAGUAAAUAUCCUAUUUAAAACGUUGUAUUUUAUACGGACUGAGAAU